AAUGCAGUCGAGCGAAUGGAUUAAGAGCUUGCUCUUAUGAAGUUAGCGGCGGACGGGUGAGUAACACGUGGGUAACCUGCCCAUAAGACUGGGAUAACUCCGGGAAACCGGGGCUAAUACCGGAUAACAUUUUGAACCGCAUGGUUCGAAAUUGAAAGGCGGCUUCGGCUGUCACUUAUGGAUGGACCCGCGUCGCAUUAGCUAGUUGGUGAGGUAACGGCUCACCAAGGCAACGAUGCGUAGCCGACCUGAGAGGGUGAUCGGCCACACUGGGACUGAGACACGGCCCAGACUCCUACGGGAGGCAGCAGUAGGGAAUCUUCCGCAAUGGACGAAAGUCUGACGGAGCAACGCCGCGUGAGUGAUGAAGGCUUUCGGGUCGUAAAACUCUGUUGUUAGGGAAGAACAAGUGCUAGUUGAAUAAGCUGGCACCUUGACGGUACCUAACCAGAAAGCCACGGCUAACUACGUGCCAGCAGCCGCGGUAAUACGUAGGUGGCAAGCGUUAUCCGGAAUUAUUGGGCGUAAAGCGCGCGCAGGUGGUUUCUUAAGUCUGAUGUGAAAGCCCACGGCUCAACCGUGGAGGGUCAUUGGGAAACUGGGAGACUUGAGUGCAGAAGAGGAGAGUGGAAUUCCAUGUGUAGCGGUGAAAUGCGUAGAGAUAUG
rnacentral:rRNA from 1 species